rnacentral:lncRNA from 1 species
GAAUCAUGGAACCUAGGAACCAAGGAGCCUAGGAAUCAAGGAACCAAGGAAUCUAGGAACCAAGGAAUCUAGGAACCUAGGAACCACUGAAACUAGGAAGCAAGGAAUCUAAGAACCACAGAACCUAGGAACCACGGAACCUAAGAACGAAGGAACCAUGGAACCACAGAACCUAGGAACCAUGGAACCUAGAAAACAUGGAACCUAGGAACCAUGGAACCUAGAAAACACGGAACCUAGGAACCAAGGAACCGUGGAACCACCGAACGUAGGAAUCACAGAACCAGGUAACAGCAGAGCUGGGGGGAGCAAGGAAGGCAACGAGGGGCUAUCUAAGAGGGAGAAGCUGCAGGAUUUGAGUUCUCUUAGCGAAACUGUGAACCCCUGGGGGCAGGCUUGGGAUUAACUAGGGAGAUUUGAGGAAAACAAUCAACUCGAUGAAGAGGAAGGAGGAAGAGAAGCUGAACACCUAGGAAAAAACAGAGAAACAAAAACCAGCCUCUUAGUACUUCCUGUUGACGUUGGUGGGGGCCAGCCCAGCUUCCCACAUGAUCGCAUCUUCUUGUAACUCUCUUAUUGUACAACUUGAGACACCGAGAUCCUCAGCUAGCCAGAGUCCAUCCUUCGUUGUUUGUAACUCUGUUCGCCGUGAUCUUAAACAGCGAGGUGCUAGCAACUGAUUAAAGGAGUGAAAGGAAACCCUGCUAAUUACGUUGAAACCUUGGCGUCGGUUUCUCUGGCCGGACUGGAUGACAAUCCACACACCUGCAGAGUUUUACAAGCAGGAUCUCACUCGGGCAGUCGACUCCUGUAAUGAAACUGGCAAAAAGCGCACAAAGUUGUUUUCCCUUAAAGAUAGAGAUACCGUGGCAGGGUUUUCAGAUGUG